rnacentral:misc_RNA from 1 species
UAGAUUUUCUGUAAAUAAGGCUAUAUAGUAGAAAUUUGUUAUCCUUCGUCUAUCAGCAUAGAUUUAGGAGAGAUUUUGGUAUGGGAGCUCAUUAGGAGCACUGGCAUUUCCUGAUUGGUUGGGUGUAUGCAGCUGAGUGUAGAGAAGACUUACUUGAUAGUAAUAGACACUAAUAUAUUUUAUCUGCAGUGAUGAACUUCGGAAAAAAAAAAAUCUAUAGUGAUGAAACACUUAAAUCGG